GACGAACGCUGGCGGCGUGCUUAACACGUGCAAGUCGGACGGUAAGGCCCUUCGGGGUACACGAGUGGCGAACGGGUGAGUAACACGUGGGUGAUCUGCCCUGCACUUCGGGAUAAGCCUGGGAAACUGGGUCUAAUACCGGAUAGGACUCCUGCCUGCAUGGGUGGGGGUGGAAAGCUUUUGCGGUGUGGGAUGGGCCCGCGGCCUAUCAGCUUGUUGGUGGGGUGAUGGCCUACCAAGGCGACGACGGGUAGCCGGCCUGAGAGGGUGACCGGCCACACUGGGACUGAGAUACGGCCCAGACUCCUACGGGAGGCAGCAGUGGGGAAUAUUGCACAAUGGGCGCAAGCCUGAUGCAGCGACGCCGCGUGAGGGAUGACGGCCUUCGGGUUGUAAACCUCUUUCAGCACCGACGAAGCGCAAGUGACGGUAGGUGCAGAAGAAGGACCGGCCAACUACGUGCCAGCAGCCGCAGUAA
rnacentral:rRNA from 1 species